UACGUUCCCGGGUCUUGUANACACCGCCCGUCACACCAUGGGAGCGGGUUUUACCAGAAGUAGGUAGCUUAACCGCAAGGGGGGGCGCUUACCACGGUAGGAUUCGUGACUGGGGGUG
rnacentral:rRNA from 1 species